CCUACGGGUGGCUGCAGUGGGGAAUAUUGGGCAAUGGAGGCAACUCUGACCCAGCAACGCCGCGUGAAUGAUGAAGGUCUUCGGAUUGUAAAGUUCUUUUCUAAGGGAAGAGCAGAAGACGGUACCUGUCGAAUAAGCCACGGCUAACUACGUGCCAGCAGCCGCGGUAAUACGUAGGUGGCAAGCGUUGUCCGGAUUUACUGGGUGUAAAGGGCGUGUAGCCGGGCUGACAAGUCAGAUGUGAAAUCCGGGGGCUCAACCCCCGAACUGCAUUUGAAACUGUUGGUCUUGAGUAUCGGAGAGGCAGGCGGAAUUCCUAGUGUAGCGGUGAAAUGCGUAGAUAUUAGGAGGAACACCAGUGGCGAAGGCGGCCUGCUGGACGACAACUGACGGUGAGGCGCGAAAGCGUGGGGAGCAAACAGGAUUAGAUACCCGAGUAGUC
rnacentral:rRNA from 1 species